rnacentral:rRNA from 1 species
ACUCAAAUGAAUAGACGGGGGCCCGCACAAGCGGAGGAACAUGUGGUUUAAUUCGAUGAUACGCGAGGAACCUUACCCGGGCUCGAACGCAGGGAGAAUGUAGGGGAAACUCUACAGUCGCAAGACUGCCUGCGAGGUGCUGCAUGGUUGUCGUCAGCUCGUGCCGUGAGGUGUCGGCUUAAGUGCCAUAACGAGCGCAACCCUUAUUGUUAGUUGCCAGCGGGUAAUGCCGGGGACUCUAGCAAAACUGCCAGCGUAAGCUGCGAGGAAGGUGGGGAUGACGUCAAAUCAGCACGGCCCUUACGUCCGGGGCGACACACGUGUUACAAUGGGAGGUACAGAAGGUUGCUACCACGCGAGUGGAUGCUAAUCCGUAAAGCCUCUCUCAGUUCGGAUCGAAGUCUGCAACUCGACUUCGUGAAGCUGGAUUCGCUAGUAAUCGCGCAUCAGCCAUGGCGCGGUGAAUACGUUCCCGGGCCUUGUACACACCGCCCGU